rnacentral:misc_RNA from 1 species
UCUGCGUGAAACAAGCCGUCCGCGGCAUCCACCUCUCCUUGCUUCGCUGUUCGCCGGCGGUUGGGCCAAGGUACCGGGCGCACAAGAGCCGAUUCGCGUGUUGCAAGGGAGCAGCGCCGCGGGCAAGCACAAUGGUAUUCUACUCCCUCGUGCUGGUGAUGAAGCCGCGGCCGCGGAAGUACACGUCGCAGGCGCUGCGCGAGAUCGCCGUGAACAUCUACAAUCAUGGCGGGCUAAUUCGCAAGCUCUCCAACGAGGGCAUCCUGCGCCCCUACAGCCGCUUUCGCGACGCCGACAACACCGCCAUCACGUACGCGCGCUACGUCACGCUGCAGUUGGACAUGGGCGAGGAGCAGAUGAAUAAAGUGGAGAAGAUCAUCCGCGAGCACGCCGACGUGAACAUCACACUGCGGCUUAACAACCUGGAGCGGCCGACUGGCGUGAAGCACAACCAGCAGAACGCCGCCGCCUACUUCCCACUGGACACCUUCACGAGGCUGGAGGAGGAGAUCAACUGGCCGCCGCAGGUGUCCGGCGACGUGUACGAGCAACUGGACAUGAACUGGAAGGAGUUCUCUCGCACGCGCUGGUCCAACUACCUGCGCAACUAGCGGCCGCCGUCCCUCUGACAGCGCUGUGGUACCGCUCGCGUUCCUUAUGCCGUGCCAUAAGUGUGCGUGUGUGCGAGUAUCUCUGCGUUGAUUCGUCAAUUGACGAUUUGAAGGCAUCGCCGGUGUCUUCCGUUUUUCUGUUGUCCGCGUCACACUCAAAGAACG